rnacentral:snRNA from 1 species
UUACUUCAGCAACACAUAGACUAAAAUUGGAACGAUACAGAGAAAAUUAGCAUGGCCCCUGCCCAAGGAUGACACGCAAAUUCGUGAAGCAUUCCAUAUUUAA